CGGCGUACGGGUGCGGAACACGUGUGCAACCUGCCUUUAUCUGGGGGAUAGCCUUUCGAAAGGAAGAUUAAUACCCCAUAAUAUGUUGAAUGGCAUCAUUCGACAUUGAAAACUCCGGUGGAUAGAGAUGGGCACGCGCAAGAUUAGAUAGUUGGUGAGGUAACGGCUCACCAAGUCUACGAUCUUUAGGGGGCCUGAGAGGGUGAUCCCCCACACUGGUACUGAGACACGGACCAACUCCUACGGGAGGCAGCAGUGAGGAAUAUUGGACAAUGGGUGAGAGCCUGAUCCAGCCAUCCCGCGUGAAGGACGACUGCCCUAUGGGUUGUAAACUUCUUUUGUAUAGGGAUAAACCUACCCUCGUGAGGGUAGCUGAAGGUACUAUACGAAUAAGCACCGGCUAACUCCGUGCCAGCAGCCGCGGUAAUACGGAGGGUGCAAGCGUUAUCCGGAUUUAUUGGGUUUAAAGGGUCCGUAGCGGAUCUGUAAGUCAGUGGUGAAAUCUCACAGCUUAACUGUGAAACUGCCAUUGAUACUGCAGGUCUUGAGUGUUGUUGAAGUAGCUGGAAUAAGUAGUGUAGCGGUGAAAUGCAUAGAUUU
rnacentral:rRNA from 1 species